rnacentral:tRNA from 1 species
GCCAGCGUGGCAUAGUGGUUUGUGCACUGGACUACAUCUCUGGAGACUAGGGUUCAAUUCCCUACUCAGCCA